GAUGAACGCCGGCGGUGUGCCUAAUACAUGCAAGUCGUACGCACUGGCCCAACUGAUUGCCGGUGCUUGCACCAGAUUGACGAUGGAUUACCAGUGAGUGGCGGACGGGUGAGUAACACGUGGGUACCCUGCGCCGGAGCGGGGAAUGACAUUUGAGAAGAGAUGCUAAUACGGCAUAACUACGACGACCACGUGGUCUUCGGAUAGAAGAUGGGUCUGCUACCACACUGCGAGGGACCCGCGGUGCAUUAGCGAGUUGGUAAGGUAACGGCUUACCAAGGCGAUGAUGCAUAGCCGAGUUGAGAGACUGAUCGGCCACAAUGGAACUGAGACACGGUCCAUACUCCUACGGGAGGCAGCAGUAGGGAAUCUUCCACAAUGGGCGCAAGCCUGAUGGAGCAACACCGCGUGAGUGAAGAAGGGUUUCGGCUCGUAAAGCUCUGUUGUUGGAGAAGAACGUAUCUGAAAGUAACUGUUCAGGUAGUGACGGUAUCCAACCAGAAAGUCACGGCUAACUACGUGCCAGCAGCUGCGGUAAGAC
rnacentral:rRNA from 1 species